GUAGGUGGCAAGCGUUGUCCGGAAUUAUUGGGCGUAAAGCGCGCGCAGGCGGUACUUUAAGUCUGAUGUGAAAGCCCACGGCUCAACCGUGGAGGGUCAUUGGAAACUGGAGAACUUGAGUACAGAAGAGGAAAGCGGAAUUCCACGUGUAGCGGUGAAAUGCGUAGAGAUGUGGAGGAACACCAGUGGCGAAGGCGGCUUUCUGGUCUGUAACUGACGCUGAGGCGCGAAAGCGUGGGGAGCAAACAGGAUUAGAUACCCUGGUAGUCCACGCCGUAAACGAUGAGUGCUAAGUGUUAGGGGGGUUUCCGCCCCCCUUAGUGCUGCAGCUAACGCAUUAAGCACUCCGCCUGGGAGUACGGCCGCAAGGCUG
rnacentral:rRNA from 1 species